rnacentral:snoRNA from 1 species
GCCUGCUCCAGAGGCAUUGCAGGUAAGGCCGCUAUGUCACGUCAGUAUGCUCUGUGCAUUGGUAGGUGGCAGAGGGAGAAAGGGUAUGCAUGCCUUUGCUCAGUUUUCUAACUUGCGAACAUUUGAAUGGUUAGUGGCCUAAUACU